rnacentral:rRNA from 1 species
GACGAACGCUGGCGGCGUGCUUAACACAUGCAAGUCGAACGGUAAGGCCCUUCGGGGUACACGAGUGGCGAACGGGUGAGUAACACGUGGGUGAUCUGCCCUGCACUUCGGGAUAAGCCUGGGAAACUGGGUCUAAUACCGGAUAGGACCACUGCCUGCAUGGGUGGUGGUGGAAAGCUUUUGCGGUGUGGGAUGGGCCCGGGGCCUGUCAGCUUGUUGGGGGGGUGAUGGCCGGCCAAGGCGGCGACGGGUAGCCGGCCUGAGAGGGUGACCGGCCACACUGGGACUGAGAUACGGCCCAGACUCCUACGGGAGGCAGCAGUGGGGAAUAUUGCACAAUGGGCGCAAGCCUGAUGCAGCGACGCCGCGUGAGGGAUGACGGCCUUCGGGUUGUAAACCUCUUUCAGCACCGACGAAGCGCAAGUGACGGUAGGUGCAGAAGAAGGACCGGCCAACUACGUGCCAGCCGCCGCCGUAA